rnacentral:rRNA from 1 species
GCUACGGGUGUGCAGCAGUGAGGAAGAUUGGGCAAUGGACGAGAGUCUGAACCAGCCAAGUAGCGUGAAGGAUGAAUGCCCGAUGGGUUGGAAACUUCUUUUAGAAAGGAAGAAAACGAGGCACGUGUGCCUUUUUGCAUGUACUUUAUGAAUAAGGAUCGGCUAACUCCGUGCCAGCAGCCGCGGUAAUACGGAGGAUCCGAGCGUGAUCCGGAUUUAUUGGGUUUAAAGGGAGCGUAGAUGGGUUGUUAAGUCAGUUGUGAAAGGUUGCGGCUCAACCGUAAAAUUGCAAUGGAUACUUGCAGUCUUGCGUACAGUUGAGGUAGUCGUAAUUCGUUGUGUAGCUGU